AGUGAACGCUGGCGGUAGGCCUAACACAUGCAAGUCGAACGGCAGCACAGUAAGAGCUUGCUCUUACGGGUGGCGAGUGGCGGACGGGUGAGGAAUACAUCGGAAUCUACUUUUUCGUGGGGGAUAACGUAGGGAAACUUACGCUAAUACCGCAUACGACCUACGGGUGAAAGCAGUGGAUCUUCGGACCUUGCGCGAUUGAAUGAGCCGAUGUCGGAUUAGCUAGUUGGCGGGGUAAAGGCCCACCAAGGCGACGAUCCGUAGCUGGUCUGAGAGGAUGAUCAGCCACACGAGAACUGAAACACGGUCCAGACUCCUACGGGAGGCAGCAGUGGGGAAUAUUGGACAAUAGGCGCAAGCCUGAUCCAGCCAUACCGCGUGGGUGAAGAAGGCCUUCGGGUUGUAAAGCCCUUUUGUUGGGAAAGAAAAGCAGCAGGUUAAUACCCCGCUGUUCUGACGGUACCCAAAGAAUAAGCACCGGCUAACUUCGUG
rnacentral:rRNA from 1 species